CCUACGGGAGGCAGCAGUGAGGAAUAUUGGUCAAUGGACGAAAGUCUGAACCAGCCAAGCCGCGUGCAGGAAGACGGCCCUAUGGGUUGUAAACUGCUUUUAUAUGAGAGUAAACGAGGGUACGCGUACCCGCUUGUAUGUACCAUAUGAAUAAGGAUCGGCUAACUCCGUGCCAGCAGCCGCGGUAAUACGGAGGAUCCGAGCGUUAUCCGGAUUUAUUGGGUUUAAAGGGUGCGUAGGUGGAUUGUUAAGUCAGUGGUGAAAGUUUGCGGCUCAACCGUAGAAUUGCAGUUGAUACUGGUAGGCUAGAGUACAGUAGAGGUGGGCGGAAUGUGUGGUGUAGCGGUGAAAUGCUUAGAGAUCACGAAGAACUCCGAUUGCGAAGGCAGCUCACUGGACUGCAACUGACACUGAGGCUCGAAAGUGUGGGGAGCAAACAGGAUUAGAUACCCCUGUAGUC
rnacentral:rRNA from 1 species